rnacentral:lncRNA from 1 species
UAUCACUUCAACAGAAAAAGGGUUGACUAUUUGUAUUCUAUAUAUAUCAUUGAAUUUUUCAAACUGAUGUUAACCAAGAACAACUACUUUAAGUGACUUGCCUGUUCAAUUUUCUCAAGACUCCCUAUAAUCAAACUUAUAGAUUUAUAUAAUAACAUGUUUAUUUGGCUUGCCUUUACUAUUUUUACUAGUCAACUGCUUAGUCAUAGUUGUUCAAUUGGACCAAAAUAAGUUAUAUAACCCACUUGUUGCAUAUUUCUAAAG